CCUCAAACUCGAAUUCGAUUAUUCUUCUGCAGGAAAAAAUGGCAACUGAAGCUGUGAUCAUUCAAGAACCCGUUUCCAUGGCGGAAAAAAUCGCAACCGAAACAAAGAUCAUUCAAGAACCCAUUUCCAUGGUGGUAUGCUUCUUUCAUCUUACAUAAUUUGCUUAACGUUUAUUCUCCAUUUAUAAAUAAUUCAUAACUUGCAACUGCAUAGUCUUUCAGUAAUUGUUGAUUGAUGAUCAUGCAUCAAGUUUGAUAUUUAAAA